CCCCGAGGAAGAGAAAUCAACCGAGAUUCCGAAAGUAGCGGCGAGCGAAAUUGGAUUAGCCCUUAAGCUUUUAAUGAGACAGACGAAGGCUCUGGAAAGUGCCGCAGUAAAGGGUGAUAGCCCCGUAGUCGACAUCUCAUAAUCAGUGAAAACGAGUAGGGCGGGACACGUGAUAUCCUGUCUGAAUAUGGGGGGACCAUCCUCCAAGGCUAA
rnacentral:rRNA from 1 species